UGCGGCGUAUUAGCUAGUUGGUGAGAUAAUAGCUCACCAAGGCGAUGAUACGUAGCAGACCUGAGAGGGUAAUCUGCCACAAUGGGACUGAGACACGGCCCAUACUCCUACGGGAGGCAGCAGUAGGGAAUCUUCCACAAUGGACGAAAGUCUGAUGGAGCAACGCCGCGUGAGUGAAGAAGGGUUUCGGCUCGUAAAACUCUGUUGUUAGAGAAGAACGGCUGUGAGAGUAACUGCUCACAGUGUGACGGUAUCUAACCAGAAAGUCACGGCUAACUACGUGCCAGCAGCCGCGGUAAUACGUAGGUGGCAAACGUUGUCCGGAUUUAUUGGGCGUAAAGGGAGCGCAGGCGGUUUAUUAAGUCUGAUGUGAAAGCCUUCGGCUUAACCGGAGAAGUGCAUCUGAAACUGAUAAACUUGAGUGCAGAAAAGGAUAGUGGAACUUCAUGUGUAGCGGUGAAAUGCGUAGAUAUAUGAAGGAACACCAGUGGCGAAGGCGGCUAUCUGGUCUGUAACUGACGCUGAGGCUCGAAAGCAUGGGUAGCAAACAGGAUUAGAUACCCUGGUAGUCCAUGCCGUAAACGAUGAAUGCUAGGUGUUGGGAGGUUUCCGCCUCUCAGUGCCGCAGCUAACGCAUUAAGCAUUCCGCCUGGGGAGUACGACCGCAAGGUUGAAACUCAAAGGAAUUGACGGGGACCCGCACGAGCGGUGGAGCAUGUGGUUUAAUUCGAUGCUACGCGAAGAACCUUACCAGGACUUGACAUCUUCUGCCAAUCUAAGAGAUUAGAC
rnacentral:rRNA from 1 species